rnacentral:rRNA from 1 species
CCUACGGGAGGCAGCAGUGAGGAAUAUUGGUCAAUGGGCGCGAGCCUGAACCAGCCAAGUCGCGUGAGGGAAGACGGUCCUAUGGAUUGUAAACCUCUUUUGUCGGGGAGCAAAAGACGCCACGCGUGGCGUUCCGAGAGUACCCGAAGAAAAAGCAUCGGCUAACUCCGUGCCAGCAGCCGCGGUAAUACGGGGGAUGCGAGCGUUAUCCGGAUUUAUUGGGUUUAAAGGGUGCGCAGGCGGAAGAUCAAGUCAGCGGUAAAAUUGAGAGGCUCAACCUCUUCGAGCCGUUGAAACUGGUGUUCUUGAGUGAGUGAGAGGUAUGCGGAAUGCGUGGUGUAGCGGUGAAAUGCAUAGAUAUCACGCAGAACUCCGAUUGCGAAGGCAGCAUACCGGCGCUCAACUGACGCUCAUGCACGAAAGUGUGGGUAUCGAACAGGAUUAGAUACCCCUGUAGUC